CUUGGUCAUUUAGAGGAAGUAAAAGUCGUAACAAGGUUUCCGUAGGUGAACCUGCGGAAGGAUCAUUAGUGAAUAUAGGACGUCCAACUUAACUUGGAGUCCGAACUCUCACUUUCUAACCCUGUGCAUUUGUUUGGGAUAGUAACUCUCGCAAGAGGGCGAACUCCUAUUCACUUAUAAACACAAAGUCUAUGAAUGUAUUAAAUUUUAUAACAAAAUAAAACUUUCAACAACGGAUCUCUUGGCUCUCGCAUCGAUGAAGAACGCAGCGAAAUGCGAUAAGUAAUGUGAAUUGCAGAAUUCAGUGAAUCAUCGAAUCUUUGAACGCACCUUGCGCUCCAUGGUAUUCCGUGGAGCAUGCCUGUUUGAGUGUCAUGAAUACUUCAACCCUCCUCUUUCUUAAUGAUUGAAGAGGUGUUUGGUUUCUGAGCGCUGCUGGCCUUUAGGGUCUAGCUCGUUCGUAAUGCAUUAGCAUCCGCAAUCGAACUUCGGAUUGACUUGGCGUAAUAGACUAUUCGCUGAGGAAUUCUAGUCUUCGGACUAGAGCCGGGUUGGGUUAAAGGAAGCUUCUAAUCAGAAUGUCUACAUUUUAAGAUUAGAUCUCAAAUCAGGUAGGACUACCCGCUGAACUUAAGCAUAUCAAUAAGCGGAGGA
rnacentral:rRNA from 1 species